UACGGAGGGUGCAAGCGUUAUCCGGAUUCACUGGGUUUAAAGGGUGCGUAGGUGGGUUGGUAAGUCAGUGGUGAUAUCUCCGAGCUUAACUUGGAAACUGCCAUUGAUACUAUUAAUCUUGAAUAUUGUGGAGGUCAGCGGAAUAUGUCAUGUAGCGGUGAAAUGCUUAGAGAUGACAUAGAACACCAAUUGCGAAGGCAGCUGGCUACACAUAUAUUGACACUGAGGCACGAAAGCGUGGGGAUCAAACAGG
rnacentral:rRNA from 1 species